rnacentral:rRNA from 1 species
GACGAACGCUGGCGGCGUGCUUAACACAUGCAAGUCGAACGGAAAGGCCCUUCGGGGUACUCGAGUGGCGAACGGGUGAGUAACACGUGGGUGAUCUGCCCUGCACUUUGGGAUAAGCCUGGGAGACUGGGUCUAAUACCGAAUAGGACCACGCGCUUCAUGGUGUGUGGUGGAAAGCUUUUGCGGUGUGGGAUGGGCCCGCGGCCUAUCAGCUUGUUGGUGGGGUAAUGGCCUACCAAGGCGACGACGGGUAGCCGGCCUGAGAGGGUGACCGGCCACACUGGGACUGAGAUACGGCCCAGACUCCUACGGGAGGCAGCAGUGGGGAAUAUUGCACAAUGGGCGCAAGCCUGAUGCAGCGACGCCGCGUGAGGGAUGACGGCCUUCGGGUUGUAAACCUCUUUCACCAGGGACGAAGCGUAAGUGACGGUACCUGGAGAAGAAGCACCGGCCAACUACGUG